rnacentral:rRNA from 1 species
CUCGUAGGCGGCCUGUCGCGUCUGCUGUGAAAUCCCGGGGCUUAACUCCGGGUCUGCAGUGGAUACGGGCAGGCUAGAGUCCGGCAGGGGAGACUGGAAUUCCUGGUGUAGCGGUGAAAUGCGCAGAUAUCAGGAGGAACACCGGUGGCGAAGGCGGGUCUCUGGGCCGGUACUGACGCUGAGGAGCGAAAGCGUGGGGAGCGAACAGGAUUAGAUACCCUGGUAGUCCACGCCGUAAACGUUGGGCGCUAGGUGUGGGAUUCCUUCCACGGGUUCCGUGCCGUAGCUAACGCAUUAAGCGCCCCGCCUGGGGAGUACGGCCGCAAGGCUAAA